AAUAAGCUCAUUUUUUAUUUUUUCCGUGUCCAACGUUUGACCAUUCGUCUUAUUUGAAAAAUUUGUAUAAAAACCUAAAAAAAUUAGUCACGUAUAAAGUACUAUUCAUAUUUUAUCAUUUAAUAAUAAUAUAAAUAUUAAUCGCAAAAAAUUUCAAAUAAGACGAAUGGUCAAACAUUGGACAUGUAAAAACA
rfam:Oryza brachyantha chromosome 3, whole genome shotgun sequence.